CCUACGGGUGGCAGCAGCAAGGAAUCUUCGGCACUGGGCGCAAGCCUGACCGAGCAACGCCGCGUGGAGGACGACGGCCUUCGGGUUGUAAACUCCUUUCGGCGGGGACGAAACGGACGGUACCCGCAAAAGCAGCCCCGGCUAACUCUGUGCCAGCAGCCGCGGUAAGACAGAGGGGGCAAGCGUUGUCCGGAUUUACUGGGCGUACAGCGCGCGCAGGCGGCACUCGACGUGCCCUGUGACAAGCCACCGCUUAACGGUGGAGGGCCAGGGUAAACGCGAGCGCUGGAGGCAGGGAGAGGGCAGUGGAAUACCCGGUGGAGCGGUGAAAUGCGUAGAGAUCGGGUGGAACACCAGGGGCGAAGGCGGCUGCCUGGCCCUGACCUGACGCUGAGGCGCGAGAGCGUGGGGAGCGAACCGGAUUAGAUACCCCUGUAGUC
rnacentral:rRNA from 1 species